rnacentral:rRNA from 1 species
AGUGAACGCUGGCGGUAGGCCUAACACAUGCAAGUCGAACGGCAGCACAGUAAGAGCUUGCUCUUACGGGUGGCGAGUGGCGGACGGGCGAGGAAUACAUCGGAAUCUACUUUUUCGUGGGGGAUAACGUAGGGAAACUUACGCUAAUACCGCAUACGACCUACGGGUGAAAGCAGGGGAUCUUCGGACCUUGCGCGAUUGAAUGAGCCGAUGUGGGAUUAGCUAGUUGGCGGGGUAAAGGCCCACCAAGGGGACGAUCCGUAGCUGGUCUGAGAGGAUGGUCGCCACACCUGGACCGGGAAACGGGCCAGGACCCCUACGGGAGGAGCCAGAGGGGAAUUUUGGCAAAUGGGGCAAAGCUGACCCCACCAAUACCGGGGGGGUGAAAAAGGCUUUCGGGUUGUAAGGCCCUUUUGUAGGGAAGAAAGAGCAGCAGGUUAGUACCCCGCUGUUGUGACGGUACCCAACGAAUAAGCACCGGCUAACUACGUG